UAGGCAGUAAGCGCGGAAUACCCGGAUGUACUGUACAGACACCCCUCCCCCGCCCCCCCCCUCCUCCUCCCCGGCAGUGAGCGCUGAGCUGAAGCCGCUCCUCCUGUUUCCGUGCUGCGGCGCUGCCCGAGACUUUACCGCAGUGAGAUCCGUCAUCCGUCCAUAACACGAACGCUCCGAGGGGGGCUGACUCUCACACCGACAGGCUUUGGUUGUUGACCCUGCUGGGGAAAAAAAACAACAACAACAAAACACAAGCCGAAACGAAAAACAACCCGGAUUCGGGGAAAUAAUAACAAUAAUACUAAUUUUAAGGAAAAUAAAUAAAUAACCGAAGACCAACCGCGCGACAAAAUGCGUCACGUUAACGAGAAAUCCAGCGCAGGAGUCUUCCCAGAAUGCAGUGCGGUUACACGAUGCCGAGUUACGGCCGGAGGCUAGGUAGAGAUGUACAGGUGAGGAGAGAGCAGGACAGGCUAAAGCGCUAAAGCGCCGCUGCAUCGCUUUCAGGAAGCGAGGGAUAAAUCUCAUCACUACGACGCUGCUGUCCGCAGGUAGAUGAAAUGCAUCGUGGGUAACGUAGAUCGAUAUCGUUCGGACAGGGCGUGGUUCGAGGGGCUUGGGCUCACCACUGUGCUGAGAUUUCUGUUUAUUUAUUUAUUAUUUGAUAAUCAUUCCUCUGACAGACGCAGUUCGGCUCGAGGGAUGAUGAGUUGAGUCGGGAGUUUGGAACGUUUCAGGAUGUGUACGCUAGUGUUGAGAUCCUCCACAACGCAGCUAUUCGUCAUCAUAGAGCUCUAAUAGUUACUAAUAACUCACGCAGCGCUGGUUUCUCGCCUGCUCGCAGCCCUGAUGUUUAUAACCCUGUGAUAGAACUCUAGCGAUCAGUAUCACAAUCAUCACCAGGGCAACAGUUAGUGGGAUUGGUUUAUAACCAGUUUAUAACUUCUUCAGCAUUUUAACUCUAAAAUAAAUUCCACAUUCACCCUUUUAUAUACUAAUGUUAGGCUCAUUACUUAAAUAUGUGCAAUAAUAAUCUGUGUAUCUCUCUAUCAUCUAUCUAUCUAUCUUCCUAUCUCUCUACCUACUGUAUCUAUCGAUAAAUUUGUCUGUCUAUCUUUUUCUAUCUAUUGAACUAUCCAUUGGUCACUCUGUCUGUCGAUCUAUCUGUCUGUCUGUCUGUAUAUCUAUCUAUCUAUCCAUUGAUGUAUCUGUCUAUCGAUCUAUCCAUUGGUAUAUCUGUCUCUUUCUUUAUUUCCUUUUUUCUUUCUAUCUUUCUGUCUGUCUGUCUAUGUAUCUGUUGAACUACCUAUUAAUCGAUCACUCUAUCUUGUCUGUCUAUCGAUCUAUCUGUAUAUCUAUCUCUCCAUCCAUUGAUGUAUCUGUCUCUUUAUUUCCGUCUUCCUUUCUAUCAAACUAUCCGUCUAUCUAUCUUUCUAUCGAGCUCUCCACUGAUCAGUCGAUCUAUCGCCGUCUAUUGAUCUGUCUGUAUUUCUAUCUAUCUGUCCAUUGAUGACUCUGUCUGUCUUUCUUUAUUUCCUUCUUUCUUUCUAUCAAACUAUCUGUCUGUCUGUCUUUCCAUCUAUCAGUCUGUUGAUCUGUCUGUCUAUCUGUCUUUCUUUCUUUCUAUCCAUUAAGCAAGCUAUCUAUCUGACUAUCUGUCUGUCUGUCUAUUUAUUUAUUUAUUAUUAAUAUAAGCUUUAAAGCCAGACCAUUUUUAUUUUCGCCAUUUUAAAAUGACUCCCUAUAUGCUAUCCAUCCAUAAGC
ensembl:lncRNA